UACGAAGGGUGCAAACGUUAUUCGGAUUUAUUGGGCGUAAAGGGUGCGUAGGCGGCAUGCUAAGUCAACUGUUUAAUUCCCCGGCCUAACUGGGGGUCAGCAGUAGAUACUGGUGUGCUAGAGGGCGGAAGAGAGAAGUGGAAUUCUUGGAGUAGCGGUAAAAUGUGUAGAUCUCAAGAGGAACACCGAUGGCGAAGGCAGCUUCUUGGUCCGUUUCUGACGCUGAUGCGCGAAAGCGUGGGAGCAAACAGG
rnacentral:misc_RNA from 1 species